rnacentral:rRNA from 1 species
AGAGUUUGAUCCUGGCUCAGGAUGAACGCUGGCCGCGUGCUUAACACAUGCAAGUCGAACGAACCUUCGGGUUAGUGGCGGACGGGUGAGUAACGCGUGAGAAUCUGCCCUCAGGAGGGGGAUAACGGUUGGAAACGACCGCUAAUACCCCAUAUGCCGCGAGGUGAAAUGAAUUUCGCCUGAGGAUGAGCUCGCGUCUGAUUAGCUAGUUGGUGGGGUAAAGGCUUACCAAGGCAUCGAUCAGUAGCUGGUCUGAGAGGAUGAUCAGCCACACUGGGACUGAGACACGGCCCAGACUCCUACGGGAGGCAGCAGUGGGGAAUUUUCCGCAAUGGGCGAAGGCCUGACGGAGCAACGCCGCGUGAGGGAUGAAGGCCUCUGGGCUGUAAACCUCUUUUAUCAAGGAAGAAGAUCUGACGGUACUUGAUGAAUAAGCCACGGCUAAUUCCGUGCCAGCAGCCGCGGUAAUACGGGAGUGGCAAGCGUUAUCCGGAAUUAUUGGGCGUAAAGCGUCCGCAGGCGGCCCUUCAAGUCUGCUGUUAAAAAGUGGAGCUUAACUCCAUCAUGGCAGUGGAAACUGUUGGGCUUGAGUGUGGUAGGGGCAGAGGGAAUUCCCGGUGUAGCGGUGAAAUGCGUAGAUAUCGGGAAGAACACCAGUGGCGAAGGCGCUCUGCUGGGCCAUCACUGACGCUCAUGGACGAAAGCCAGGGGAGCGAAAGGGAUUAGAUACCCCUGUAGUCCUGGCCGUAAACGAUGAACACUAGGUGUCGGGGGAAUCGACCCCCUCGGUGUCGUAGCCAACGCGUUAAGUGUUCCGCCUGGGGAGUACGCACGCAAGUGUGAAACUCAAAGGAAUUGACGGGGGCCCGCACAAGCGAUGGAGUAUGCGGUUCAAUUCGAUGCAACGCGAAGAACCUUACCAGGGUUUGACAUCCUGCGAAUCUCUUGGAAACGAGAGAGUGCCUUCGGGAGCGCAGUGACAGGUGGUGCAUGGCUGUCGUCAGCUCGUGUCGUGAGAUGUUGGGUUAAGUCCCGCAACGAGCGCAACCCACGUCUUUAGUUGCCAGCAUUUAGUUGGGCACUCUAGAGAGACCGCCGGUGAUAAACCGGAGGAAGGUGUGGAUGACGUCAAGUCAUCAUGCCCCUUACAUCCUGGGCUACACACGUACUACAAUGCUACGGACAAAGGGCAGCAAGUUCGCGAGGACAAGCAAAUCCCAUAAACCGUGGCUCAGUUCCGAUCGUAGGCUGCAACUCGCCUACGUGAAGGAGGAAUCGCUAGUAAUCGCAGGUCAGCAUACUGCGGUGAAUACGUUCCCGGGCCUUGUACACACCGCCCGUCACACCAUGGAAGUUGGCCACGCCCGAAGCCGUUACUCCAACCCUCGGGAGGAGGACGUCGAAGGUGGGGCUGAUGACUGGGGUGAAGUCGUAACAAGGUAACC